UGGGGAAUAUUGCACAAUGGGCGCAAGCCUGAUGCAGCCAUGCCGCGUGUAUGAAGAAGGCCUUCGGGUUGUAAAGUACUUUCAGCGGGGCGGAAGGUGUUGAGGUUAAUAACCUCAGCAAUUGACGUUACCCGCAGAAGAAGCACCGGCUAACUCCGUGCCAGCAGCCGCGGUAAUACGGAGGGGGGAAGCGUUAAUCGGAAUUACUGGGCGUAAAGCGCACGCAGGCGGUCUGUCAAGUCGGAUGUGAAAUCCCCGGGCUCAACCUGGGAACUGCAUUCGAAACUGGCAGGCUAGAGUCUUGUAGAGGGGGGUAGAAUUCCAGGUGUAGCGGUGAAAUGCGUAGAGAUCUGGAGGAAUACCGGUGGCGAAGGCGGCCCCCUGGACAAAGACUGACGCUCAGGUGCGAAAGCGUGGGGAGCAAACA
rnacentral:rRNA from 1 species